AUAUGUAAUACAACCACCAUUGUUAAUUCCCUACCACUUUGUUUGGAACUCUGUAUUGUCUGUAUUGUGCUUGUGAUAUGUUGUAAAAUGCUGUAUGUCUGUUAAUGUUUCCCUCCUUUUAUCCUUAAAAUAAAAAAAAAAAUAACUGUGGACCCUCUGGGAAAUACUUUACAUAAAUGAUAUUGUGGAAUCCUUAGAUCAGUGCUAUGAGGUACAUUUGCUUAUCUCAUACAGUUGCAGUCUCCUGAGGCUUCCCAGUUUGCCCAGUUAGAAAUGGGGAAUGUGGGCUUUCGAGUGAGAGGUGUCUAACCAAAUUUGUACUGCAGUCUUGCCUGGCAUAUGGCUUCUCCUUCUUUGUGCAGAUUUAUUUAUUCUUGCUGUAAAGUAUUAGUGGAUUUUUAAAGAAUAUUGGGUGUAAGUACAUGAGAAACACUGAAUUGCCAUGUAGCAGAUUCAACCAUUUCUUCCCUUGUUGUUUCUGGGGACUUGCAUCUUCCUGUCCUUUCCCUGGGCCUGAGGAGUUUCCAGGAAGCCUUAGGAGGGUGGAAACCAUUCUAGGUGACUACUGCAGAGGCUCUGCAGCAGUGAAGACAGAUGUGAGCAGAGCCAUGAGGCCUGGAGUUUCCCAGAUGGUUGCUGUUAUGUUUGUAUCUGGAUGUUCCCUAGAGCCUCUUGUGAUCAUAGGUGAGACCUUUGGAAGGUGACCGGGUCAUGGGGCAAUUACAGCUGAUGUACUGCUAGGAGA
ensembl:lincRNA